UAAAUAAAUAAGAAUUUUAAAAGUAAAAAAAGCAUAAGGAAAAUCAAAAAAAUAAAAGAAUUCCCUGAAAUUCAGAAAUAAGAAAUUAGAGCGGGAAAAAUUUAGCCAAGUAAGUGCCAGCAGCUGCGGUUAUACUGGAAAAGUUUAAAUUACAAUAAACUAAAUUAAAUGAAAAAAAAGUAGACAAAGGUGAAAUUUUUAAAAUUAAAAAAUUUAAAGAUAUAGAGUUUGAAAAUAGAAACAAGGAUUAGAUACCCUAUUAAAUUAAAACAAGGUAGUAUUUAAAUAAAAGAAACCUAAUUGCAAUGGCGGCAAGAAAUAUUUCCAGGGGAUUUUGUCAUAUAAUCGCCAACCCGCGAUGGAACUAACUAACUUUAAAAUUCUUCAUAUCAUUGUUUGAAAGCGAAAGAUAAAGUUAUUUUGCUAAUAGAGGUUCCUAACUAAUAAAACAAAUCAAGACAAAAAUUAUAGGUUAGGAAUAGGCGAAAUACUUUAAGAGACCAAAUAGAAGGUUGAAGAAUAACACCAAACAAAGAACUUGCGACUAAAAAUUUGAAAUGUAUUAAGUUUUGAAUAAUCCAUUUCUCGUGCACAUAUCGCCCGUCACUCUUACGUUGAACAUAAGAUAAGUCGAAACAAAGUAGAUUAAACGGAAGCUUAAUCUUG
rnacentral:rRNA from 1 species